GUCCCUCUUUUCCCAUUGCUCCUCCAGCGUCGGGAUGUGAGCCACCAGCAAGGAGGGACACCAAUAAGGCGUCUGAUAAGAUAAUGAAAAUUAUCAUCACUAUUCCUUCUGCAAGUCCCCAGAUUGAAGGUUCAAGAGUAACACCCCAGAAGACUGUCUUUGCUGGCAAGGAAUUUAUUUGGAGCAGUUUCCACUUGAAACUUGAAGUAGCUGCUUCAAGAUGAGGCUGAUCCAGUAAGAACCCUUUGUAACAGCCAUUUCCUCCUGCUGUGUAUUUGCUGCCAUUGCGACGUGAGUCUUCAACUUCAUGCUCCAGUCGCCAUGCCUGCUGCUUGCUGCUAUGCCUCCCUGCCAUGAUGAGCACUUACCUCUGGAAACCUGAGUCCAAGAGUCCUUUGGAGUAUUUUACCUGGAGUGCUGUUAAUGUUCUUCAAAAUAUGACCUGUCCAUCAGAUGUGGCUAAAUGAAACUAUCACAAAAACUAAAUCUACAGAUUCAACAAAUAUCAAGCAUCAGCUUGGAGAGUAAUGCACUGAGUUAUAAGAAUAAGUUGAUAAAUUUAUCAAUUGUCUCAUUUAUAUGUGUCGCAAUCUGAUUUGUAGGAAACCCAUGAAUUGG
rnacentral:lncRNA from 1 species